rnacentral:rRNA from 1 species
GACGAACGCUGGCGGCGUGCUUAACACAUGCAAGUCGAACGGAAAGGCCCUGCUUUCGGGGUGCGCUCGUGUCGCACACGUGAGAGAAACACGUGCGUACCCCGCCCCUGUCCUUGGUAUACCUUGAGGAAACUCGCUCUAACCCCGGAUCGGACCUCCUGAUGCUGGUUGUUGGAUGGAUUUUUUGGUGGGGUGGGGACUGACUCGCGGCGUAUUAGUUGGUUGGUGGGGUAGUGGCUUACCAAGGCUCGGGGGGGUUGCCGGCCUGGGAGGGGGACCGGCCACAUGGGGACUGAGAUACGGCCCAGACUCCUACGGGGGGCAGCAGGGGGGAAUAUUGCACAAUGGGCGGAAGCCUGAUGCAGCAACGCCGCGUGGGGGAUGACGGCCUUCGGGUUGUAAACCGUUUUCGCCGGGGACGAAGCGUGAGUGACGGUAACGGGUAAAGAAGCACCGGCUAACUACGUG